UACAGAGGGGGCAAGCGUUAUUCGGAAUUAUUGGGCGUAAAGGGCGCGUAGGCGGCUUGGCAAGUGGAAGGUGAAAUCCCUCGGCUUAACCGAGGAACUGCCUUCCAGACUGCUUUGCUUGAGGCCGGGAGAGGUGAGUGGAAUUCCCAGUGUAGCGGUGAAAUGCGUAGAUAUUGGGAGGAACACCAGUGGCGAAGGCGGCUCACUGGACCGGUUCUGACGCUGAGGCGCGAAAGCGUGGGAGCAAACGGG
rnacentral:rRNA from 1 species